UUCCUGGUGGCCUAGUGGUUAGGACUUGGUGCUUUUACCCCUGUAGCCUGGGUUCAAUCCCCGGUCUGGAAA
rnacentral:tRNA from 1 species